rnacentral:sRNA from 1 species
AGACACUCUCCAAAAAGCAGAGACAGCAGGAAGAGGGGAGUGGAGGCAGCCCAUUCGCCUGGGGAAAUGACUGGGUUGUCGAUGGACAGUGGCGGCAGCCCCAAGGGGGACGUGGACCCGUUCUACUAUGGUAAGCCUGGGCCCCUGUGCACCCUUCCUGAGCCCUCAGGACCCCUUCCACCAAGCAGCGGCCUCUCCCAGCCCCAGGUCCAUGCUCUGUGCCCCUUAUCUCCCCUGGUUACCGCGGGCUGCUGCGGGCGGGCUGCGGGGAGAGACAGCUGCUGGGAGAGACCACCCAUCCCGCUCCUCUUGCCCUCUCUUUCCGGAGACUAUGAGACUGUUCGCAAUGGGGGCCUGAUCUUCGCUGGACUGGCCUUCAUCGUGGGGCUCCUCAUCCUCCUCAGUAAGUGGGGUGGCCUCCAGGGAAGGGGUGCUGACCAGGGCACCUCUCUUCUCAAGGCCACUGAGCAGGCUGGCUUUCUGGAGUUGCCAAGGGAGGGGUGAGCCUCCCCACCACGCCCCCCACUGCAGGAUGUGGGAAUGGGUGCCCGGUGGGGUGCCAGGCUCGCCGGGAGCACAGUGUGAGGUUCCUGCUUGCUCAAGUGCACCCUCCAGUGGGCCCGGGAGGAGACGCAGAGGUGAGAGCGAACCCACGGGGUAACUGGGUAACCGGAGGGCCAGGCAGGGGGACUAGGCCCCCCGCUGCUAACCAUGGUCCCAUACUCAUUUGUUAAAUAGGGAUGAUCCCACCUGCCUCACAAGAUUAGGGCUAGCAUCCAAAGACACGGCAGUCAGGACAGCACUCUGAGAAUGGUCCAGUGCAGACUCAGAGUGUUCUGGGGGAGACAGAGAGAGUUAUGUAUCCUCAAGCCCUGAGGGGCACACAGCAGGAGCUUAAUAACUGCACAUUGACUUGUUUUGGUCCAACCCAAAGAAAAAGACACAGAAAACACAACCCAUGGAAAGAAGAUACAGCAAGCACACCUGUGGGCUCUGGACUUCUAAUGCACGUGUGCCACUGCCACCCCACCCCAAGGCUCGGGCCACAGUCCUGCGGGUCUCCCCAUUUUCCCGUGUUGCCCAUGGCAGCUCUCUCUACGUGUGCCACUGCCAGCCCACCCCAAGGCUUGGGCCACAGUCCUGCAGGUCUCCCCAUUUUCACAUGUUGCCCAUGGCAGCUCCCGGAGGGCAGUGCCGGGUGGCGGCUGAGCACAUAGGCACAGGAGGCAGGUGGCCUAAGCAAGGGGCUCCACUUUGGAGUUGCUGCCAUCCUUCUUCAGGUGUUCGUCGGGCAGCUGUGCUGGGGGCACCAUGAUGGCCCAGUCUCUGCUGCUGCUCUCGAUAUGCCAACAGCCCACCAUGGAUCUGCUCCAGUAAAUAUUUGCUGACUGACUGACUGACUUAGGUUCUUGAAUGCCUAUGGUCCAGCCUUAUAUAAAGAGAGAGAAGGCUGGGCGUGGUGGCUCAUGCCUGUAAUGCUGGCAUAUAGGAGGCCAAGGCAGGAGGAUCUCUUGAGACCAGGAGUUUAAGACCAGCCUGGUCAAUACAGUGAGACCCGAUCUAUAC